rnacentral:lncRNA from 1 species
UCCUCUUUUGCCAUAAGCUCCUUUAAUCUUCCCCUUAUUUUUGUACUCUCCUCUUGGAGCGGGAUAGAUAAGGGAUUCUUUUCCAAAGCUUCAACUGAGUUAUUCAGAUCAAUCCUUGCCUGGGCUACCCUCUUCGCUGAAUGCCCUUUUUCUGCUGCCCAUUGCUUAGAAAGUACCUUAACUUCCUUAAGUUUUUGCUGUAACUUAUACAAUCCAGUUCCAUAUAUUUGU